rnacentral:tRNA from 9 species
CGGGCUAUUAGCUCAGUGGUAGAGCGCGCCCCUGAUAA